AGGCCCUGCUCCAGGAGUUCUCCUGUCUGGACUGGUAAAGAGGCUCCUCGAGUUUCCAUCGCUGCUCAAAGUGUGCAAGUCACAGAACUGAAUUUCUUGCCACCUUUUUUCAUUUAAUGCCUGAGCUGGAGCCUUUGGACAAAGCAGCUGCAUGGUCUGGCCCUGGUACCUGAGGGCUCCCUGAAUGGCUCCUUCUCAGGCAGCAGGGGUUUGGUGAUUUUCCUUGUCAGAAAGCCUGUCUGUGCAAGGUAAUUCUCUGCUUGUCUGAAAGGCAAGGAAAGGGCCAGCACUGAUGUCUUCUCUCCCUUCCAUCCCUUGUAGGUCAACAGGAACAGCUUCAAAUGCCAAUUCUUACUACUGCCUCUGCAAGCUUGAGAGUAAGAAGUCCUCUCUCCAGGGAAAUUGCAGGUAAGGCUGGAGCUGCUGGGAGAGGCUGAGCAGAGGAGAGAGCAUUGUCUGCACAGGGGUGUAAGGAGAGAGCUGCUGGGACAAGGAGCUCACCCUGAGUGAGGUAACUCCCACUCCUCACUGACUCCAGACUCAGCUGGUCCUACAGCUGAGCUGUCGCAGCCAGUGACUCCAGGGGAAGAUGGCAAAGCCUCCAUGCAAAAACCCAAAUUUCAGAAGUGAAGCCAAACCUGUUGAUUUAUUAUUUUUUUUCCAAUAAUCCAAUGUUUUCUGUGACUGUACAUUGAAGUAUCUCUUCAAAUAAUUAAAUGUAUGCAAAAACAUCAAGUUCUGCCCAUAAUAAUUUCAAUGUUGGUGACAGCAGCAUUGGAAGGAAGGGAAGCUCAUAAAGGAGUGUACCUAAGGUUUAACUUUUCCAAGCAGCUUAAAUGUUCUAUUAGAGCAGUUUGCCUGGGGCUUGGUGAAGAAAGGCCGAAAGAAGAGGAAUCAAAUAAUUCCAACAAAGGGGCACAUCAACACAAAGCAGCAGGUUAUACAAGCAGCAAAGAAUGUCCACUGUUGAGAAAAGGGCAUUUGGAUUCCACAUGGAAGAACACAAGAGGGAGUGGCAGACUAGGAAUGAGAAUCCUGCUGUUAGGGAAAUUGAUAUUAGCACUGACACCUUCUCAAAAUGCUUCCAAGGGUGAAAAUGAACCAUCAACAUCACAGCUAUGGGAAGGUGUAAGUAGCACUGGCUGCCAGGUUGAUAUGCAAAUGUGUGUAUUCCUGUAUCUCUGUAAUGCAAAAUGUUUGAAGAAAAAAGUGUUGUUGCUACUGAGAAUAUCCUUCUCAACCUCUUUACACAAGUAAUAAAAUACUGCAAAAGCUGUGCUGGCCCAUUUCCUGGAAAUGCCAAUUUCUGUUUGUUGGUAGAGGUAGGCAAGAGAGCUUCUGACAAAUAUCUAAGUACAACAUGUUCAGCAGAGACUUUCACCUGCCUCUGACUUCCAGGCUGAGAAGUGCAAAUCAUGUGUGACAUGUCUAGGGAGGAGGGAAUCAACCAUCAGUCAUCAGCUGAAAAGCCACAGAACAAGAUGUUUACUCCCAUUUUCGUUUCUUUGGUUACUGGUUUAUUUUUUUUUUUUAGUAUGAAAGUGACUACUUUUGUAACAACAAUGUUUGCUUAAUAAACCAAUUUGCUUUUUUGCUGCA
rnacentral:lncRNA from 1 species